rnacentral:rRNA from 1 species
GAUGAACGCUGGCGGCGUGCCUAAUACAUGCAAGUCGAACGCAUUGUGGUUGAAAUGAUAUGAAGAACUUGUUCAGAUUUGAUUUUCAACAUUGCAAUGAGUGGCGAACGGGUGAGUAACACGUGGGAAACCUACCUCUUAGCAGGGGAUAACAUUUGGAAACAAAUGCUAAUACCGUAUAAUAAUUAAAACCGCAUGGUUUUAGUUUAAAAGAUGGUCUUGCUAUCACUAAGAGAUGGUCCCGCGGUGUAUUAGUUAGUUGGUGAGGUAAUGGCUCACCAAGACAAUGAUACAUAGCCGAGUUGAGAGACUGACCGGCCACAAUGGGACUGAGACACGGCCCAUACUCCUACGGGAGGCAGCAGUAGGGAAGUCUUCCACAAUGGACGAAAGUCUGAUGGAGCAACGCCGCGUGUGUGAUGAAGGGUUUCGGCUCGUAAAACACUAGUUGUAGGAGAAGAAUGACAUUGAGAGUAACUGUUCAAUGUGUGACGGUA